CUUCGGAGUGAGAGCGUACACAGGUGCUGCAUGGCUGUCGUCAGCUCGUGUCGUGAGAUGUUGGGUUAAGUCCCGCAACGAGCGCAACCCUGCAUUCAGUUGCCAUCGGUAAGGCCGGGCACUCUGGGAUGGACUGCCGGCGACAAGCCGGAGGAAGGUGGGGACGACGGUCAAGUCAUCAUGGCCCUUAUGUCCAGGGCGACACACGUGCUACAAUGGCCGGCACAACGGGAAGCGAAGGGGCGACCCUGAGCGGAUCCCACAAAAGCCGGUCUCAGUUCGGAUUGCAGUCUGCAACUCGACUGCAUGAAGUUGGAAUCGCUAGUAAUCGUGGAUCAGCCAAGCCGCGGUGAAUACGUUCCCGGGCCUU
rnacentral:rRNA from 1 species